CCCGACUCAGCCCCACGUGGCCACGGCUUAGAUGGCCCAGCCACGCCCAGUGCCCCCAUCCACCACCAUGCCCUAGCCCCACCGGCCAGGAGCAUCUUCUCCAACUUCCUGUGCCCAUGCCGCCAGGAAGAGCAGUGCCCGCCUCACAUCUCGGCCAGUUCAACCCCCCAAUUGCCCCCUUCCAUGCGCAGAAACCACCUCCACCGCCCAUCGCCCAGACCGCUAAUGCCCACACACGCAAUGCUCAGAGUUGCCCUCGCCUAGGUAGCCCCCACCUGCGUCGAUCUCUUCCCGCCAUGCACGAAGUCGUCCUCACCUCACCGGAGCAUCACCUUGCCAUCUAUGCACGGAAGCGCUCUCCAUUUCUGUCAAGUCUCGUUCUAAGGUAAUCAAACCCACUUUCUCCUCUUCUUCUUCCAUGGUGGACACCCCCAUCCUAUCCAGCCAGCGGCCCAGCCCGUUAGCGUGUGGCCAGCCAGCGGCCUGGCCAACCAGCCUUUCCAAGCCGGAUAUGGCACCUCUCAGCUGACUGCAACCCUUCCCUAGGCCUUGUUCGUUUAC
rnacentral:lncRNA from 7 species